GGUGGCAGCUCAGUGGUAGAGCACUUGCCUAGUGUGCACAAGGCCCUGGAUUUGAUCCCCAGCACUG
rnacentral:tRNA from 1 species